AAGAGAUCUGCUAAAACAACUGAAAGAGUUGAGAACAAGAGAACAAGUUCGAAAAUAAAUUAUGAUGCUUUGCAGAAGCUGACUGACGAUUUGGAUCUGAAAGAUGGAAAUUA